rnacentral:rRNA from 1 species
GCGGGAAAUCUCACCAGGCCCGGACAUUAGCAGGAUUGACAGAUUGAUAGCUCUUUCUUGAUUUGAGUGGGUGGUGGUGCAUGGCCGUUCUUAGUUGGUGGAGUGAUUUGUCUGGUUAAUUCCGAUAACGAACGAGACCCCGUCCUACUUACUAGACCGAGGAUCCUCUCGUUCUCGCGUCUUCUUAGAGGGACAAAUGAUUUUACCUUGAACUACAUGAAAUGGGGCAAUAA